rnacentral:rRNA from 1 species
AUUGAACGCUAGCGGGAUGCUUUACACAUGCAAGUCGAAAGAGUGGCGGACGGGUGAGUAAUAUAUAGGAACGUGCCCAGUAGCGGGGGAUAACUACUCGAAAGAGUGGCUAAUACCGCAUACGCUUGGAGCGGCCGGUACCGGAUUAGCUCGUUGGUGGGGUAAAGGCUCACCAAGGCAACGAUCCGUAGCUGGUUUGAGAGGCCGACCAGCCACACUGGGACUGAGACACGGCCCAGACUCCUAAGGUAGGCAGCAGUUGUGAAUUUUGGACAAUGGGUGAAACCCUGAUCCAGCCCUCCCGCGUGUAUGAGAAGGCCUUCGGGUUGUAAAGUACUUUUGGCAGAGAAUCGGUAUCUGCAGAAUAAGCACCGGCUAACUACGUGCCAGCAGCCGCGGUAAUUC